UCCAAGCAAACCAUACAGUUCUUGUGUCUUGUUUUUUUUUUCCCUCCCGUUCUCUCACCUGUAGAUGAGCCACACCCACUUCUCCAUAUGGGGUGGCUGCAAUCCCUCCUCUCUCCAUUGAAGAAGCUGUGGUUUCGUCUACACUCAACUCCAAAGAAUAGAAGAGGAAUUUACAUUCUGUACGAGGAUGUAAAAUCCUGCCAGUAUGAAGAUGUGCAUGUCCUAUGGUCAAUACUAGUGGAGUCAAAUACCCCUUCUUUGCCAUCAAAACAAUGAAGGCCUACACAAGUACAGAGUUCCCAAAAAACUAAGAGAUGUCCACUCACGUACAUAAGAUAUUUAUCUUGUUCUAUAAUCUCUUGAAAGGACUUUUGUUUUUGUAGUUUGCUUACUGAAUUUCUUGUCAUUUGAGCUAUAUAUUAGAACACAGCUUUUUCCGCAAAA